GGAUCUAUGAUGACAAACCUAUAUCAUGAAGAGAGGUGAUGACAUAAAUAUCAUGCUCUGGUUCCGGCAGCUGAGGCCC
rnacentral:snoRNA from 1 species